AGUGUUUUGCAGCCAAAAAUGGAAAAUGGAUGAAAACACGAGAAAGAGGCCCAAAUUAAAAACAACUCUCUUUCUUUUUACUGACUGUUUGCUCGGAUUGAAGAAUCAGAAAAGCUCCAUCUGAAUCUCCUAUCCUCUUCCUCGAUUUCCAGCUUAAUACAAUCUUCAAAUCUAGCCGGGGAAGGGAUGGAACCAUCAAGUAUUGGGAUGUUGGAGAAGGGGGGUUGUCCAGGUACUUAUCUAUCUCUAUAAUGCCGUUGUCCAUCUCAGGUUGGGAUGUGAGUUGUGUUGUUUCAGUACAAUUAAUAUAUUGCCUGCUUAGAACUUGACUUUUGACGAUGACUAAUAGAAAUAGUUAAUGGCUUCCUUCCUAUGUACACUGAGCUCUAGGUGCAAUGUACUUAAUGAAAAAAGAUUUUGUUUA